CAAUAGCGUAUAUUAAAGUUGUUGCGGUUAAAAAGCUCGUAGUUGGAUUUCUGCUGAGAACGACCGGUCCGCCCUUUGGGUGUGUAUCUGGCUCUUUCUUGGCAUCUUCUUGGUGAACGUUGCUGCACUUGACUGUGUGGAGCGCUACCCAGGACUUUUACUUUGAGGAAAUUCGAGUGUUUCAAGCAGGCAUACGCCUUGAAUACAUUAGCAUGGAAUAAUAAGAUAGGACCUCGGUUCUAUUUUGUUGGUUUCUAGAGCUGAGGUAAUGAUUAAUAGGGAUAGUUGGGGGCAUUCGUAUUUAACUGUCAGAGGUGAAAUUCUCGGAUUUGUUAAAGACGGACUACUGCGAAAGCAUUUGCCAAGGAUGUUUUCAUUG
rnacentral:rRNA from 1 species